rnacentral:rRNA from 1 species
GGUCAUUUAGAGGAAGUAAAAGUCGUAACAAGGUCUCCGUUGGUGAACCAGCGGAGGGAUCAUUACUGAGUUUACGCUCUAUAACCCUUUGUGAACAUACCUAUAACUGUUGCUUCGGCGGGUAGGGUCUCCGCGACCCUCCCGGCCUCCCGCCUCCGGGCGGGUCGGCGCCCGCCGGAGGAUAACCAAACUCUGAUUUAACGACGUUUCUUCUGAGUGGUACAAGCAAAUAAUCAAAACUUUUAACAACGGAUCUCUUGGUUCUGGCAUCGAUGAAGAACGCAGCGAAAUGCGAUAAGUAAUGUGAAUUGCAGAAUUCAGUGAAUCAUCGAAUCUUUGAACGCACAUUGCGCCCGCCAGCAUUCUGGCGGGCAUGCCUGUUCGAGCGUCAUUUCAACCCUCAAGCUCUGCUUGGUGUUGGGGCCCUACAGCUGAUGUAGGCCCUCAAAGGUAGUGGCGGACCCUCCCGGAGCCUCCUUUGCGUAGUAACUUUACGUCUCGCACUGGGAUCCGGAGGGACUCUUGCCGUAAAACCCCCCAAUUUUCCAAAGGUUGACCUCGGAUCAGGUAGGAAUACCCGCUGAACUUAAGCAUAUCAAUGAGGC